rnacentral:rRNA from 1 species
AUUGAACGCUGGCGGCAUGCCUUACACAUGCAAGUAGAACGGCAGCAUAGGAGCUUGCUCCUGAUGGCGAGUGGCGAACGGGUGAGUAAUAUAUCGGAACGUGCCCUAGAGUGGGGGAUAACUAGUCGAAAGACUAGCUAAUACCGCAUACGAUCUACGGAUGAAAGUGGGGGAUCGCAAGACAUCAUGCUCCUGGAGCGGCCGAUAUCUGAUUAGCUAGUUGGGGGGGUAAAAGCCUACCAAGGCAACGAUCAGUAGCUGGUCUGAGAGGACGACCAGCCACACUGGGACUGAGACACGGCCCAGACUCCUACGGGAGGCAGCAGUGGGGAAUUUUGGACAAUGGGGGCAACCCUGAUCCAGCAAUGCCGCGUGAGUGAAGAAGGCCUUCGGGUUGUAAAGCUCUUUUGUCAGGGAAGAAACGGUAGUAGCUAAUAUCUAUUACUAAUGACGGUACCUGAAGAAUAAGCACCGGCUAACUACGUGCCAGCAGCCGCAGUAACAC